rnacentral:rRNA from 1 species
CCCGCACAAGCGGUGGAGUAUGUGGUUUAAUUCGAAGCAACGCGAAGAACCUUACCAGGGCUUGACAUCCCGGUGACCGCUCUAGAGAUAGAGUUUCCCUUCGGGGCACCGGUGACAGGUGGUGCAUGGUUGUCGUCAGCUCGUGUCGUGAGAUGUUGGGUUAAGUCCCGCAACGAGCGCAACCCUUAUUGUUAGUUGCUACGCAAGAGCACUCUAGCGAGACUGCCGUUGACAAAACGGAGGAAGGUGGGGACGACGUCAAAUCAUCAUGCCCCUUAUGUCCUGGGCCACACACGUACUACAAUGGUGGUUAACAGAGGGAGGCAAAGCCGCGAGGGAAAGGUGAAAAGAACCCCGGAAGGGGAGUGAAAUAGAACAUGAAACCGUUAGCUUACAAGCAGUGGGAGGACGAUUUAACGUCUGACCGCGUGCCUGUUGAAGCAUGAGCCGGCGAGUUAUAGGCAGUGGCAUGUUAAGACCCUAUGGGUUGCAGCCAAAGCGAAAGCGAGUUUGACAAGAGCGCCAGUGUGAAAGCACAGGUCC